GCUAUUUCUUCCCUUCUCCCACUUAGAUUCUGAAAAACGCAACGCAACAGAUCCCAUUACCACAAGUAAUUAGAUCCGCCUGGACCCUGCCAGAAUCCUAGCGCCAAAUAACGGUCAACAAUUUCUGAAAUUUCAAAAAAAAAAAAAAAAAAAGCUGCUAACUAAUUCACUUUUUAAUUUGCUUCACAAAUUGAAUUCCCCUUCCCAGCAAACAAUUGAUGGAGCCUCUGUGCUCAAAUUUCGAUCUCUCUCCGAUCUCAACGGCGCCUUCGAAACCUGCUUUGCUGCCUCUCUUCUCUUCUCCUCGGAUUUCUACCUCGAUUAGGCUUAAUGUAUCCAGAAAAUGGAGCCACUACUGUGCUUCCUCUCAUCACACCGCUAAGACGACGGUGUCCAGACCCCAAUCCAAUGCUCCAGAUUUCAUCAGAUCCGUCGGAAAAGGUUUUAUUGGUUUUGCCGCCGCCGCUGCAGCUCUAGCCUCGCUUUGUUGCGACUCUCCCGCGUUUGCUGAGUCUUUAACGGUCGCUUUUCCUGUUUCCCGAGCUCGGGAGGUGAAUACAGUUCAAAGAACGCUUGUGGAGGCUUGGGGUUUGAUUAGAGAAACAUUUGUGGACCCAACUUUUAACCAUCAAGAUUGGGAUUUAAAAUUGCAGCAAACUAUGGUGGAAAUGUUUCCUUUGAAUUCAGCAGAUGCUGCGUAUACAAAAAUCAAAGGAAUGCUUUCUACUCUUGGGGAUCCUUUUACUCGGAUUAUAAGUCCAAAGGAGUACCAGAGUUUUAGAAUUGGAAAUGA
rnacentral:misc_RNA from 1 species